rnacentral:antisense_RNA from 8 species
AAUAACCAAAUAUAACACUUGGGCUAAGAGUCAAGUUGGUAAUUUUUGUAACAUCUCCCCUCCGGGAGCCCAGGUAUCAUAUACAUCUCCAAAAUAAAGAGUCUUGAAUACUAGAAGAAUACCUAACAAAAUUAAGUGAAUACCCAAAAUUGUGGUUAUUUUAUUUAUAUCUUUCCA